rnacentral:rRNA from 1 species
GACGAACGCUGGCGGCGUGCUUAACACAUGCAAGUCGAACGGAAAGGCCUGCAGCUUGCUGCGGGUACUCGAGUGGCGAACGGGUGAGUAACACGUGGGUGAUCUGCCUUGCACUUCGGGAUAAGCUUGGGAAACUGGGUCUAAUACCGGAUAGGACAGCUGUUUAGUGUCAGUUGUGGAAAGUUUUUUCGGUGCAAGAUGAGCUCGCGGCCUAUCAGCUUGUUGGUGGGGUAAUGGCCUACCAAGGCAACGAUGCAUAGCCGACCUGAGAGGGUGAUCGGCCACACUGGAACUGAGACACGGUCCAGACUCCUACGGGAGGCAGCAGUAGGGAAUCUUCCGCAAUGGGCGAAAGCCUGACGGAGCAACGCCGCGUGAGUGAUGAAGGUCUUCGGAUCGUAAAACUCUGUUAUUAGGGAAGAACAUAUGUGUAAGUAACUGUGCACAUCUUGACGGUACCUAAUCAGAAAGCCACGGCUAACUACGUGCCAGCAGCCGCGGUAAUACGUAGGUGGCAAGCGUUAUCCGGAAUUAUUGGGCGUAAAGCGCGCGUAGGCGGUUUUUUAAGUCUGAUGUGAAAGCCCACGGCUCAACCGUGGAGGGUCAUUGGAAACUGGAAAACUUGAGUGCAGAAGAGGAAAGUGGAAUUCCAUGUGUAGCGGUGAAAUGCGCAGAGAUAUGGAGGAACACCAGUGGCGAAGGCGACUUUCUGGUCUGUAACUGACGCUGAUGUGCGAAAGCGUGGGGAUCAAACAGGAUUAGAUACCCUGGUAGUCCACGCCGUAAACGAUGAGUGCUAAGUGUUAGGGGGUUUCCGCCCCUUAGUGCUGUAGCUAACGCAUUAAGCACUCCGCCUGGGGAGUACGACCGCAAGGUUGAAACUCAAAGGAAUUGACGGGGACCCGCACAAGCGGUGGAGCAUGUGGUUUAAUUCGAAGCAACGCGAAGAACCUUACCAAAUCUUGACAUCCUUUGACAACUCUAGAGAUAGAGCCUUCCCCUUCGGGGGACAAAGUGACAGGUGGUGCAUGGUUGUCGUCAGCUCGUGUCGUGAGAUGUUGGGUUAAGUCCCGCAACGAGCGCAACCCUUAAGCUUAGUUGCCAUCAUUAAGUUGGGCACUCUAAGUUGACUGCCGGUGACAAACCGGAGGAAGGUGGGGAUGACGUCAAAUCAUCAUGCCCCUUAUGAUUUGGGCUACACACGUGCUACAAUGGACAAUACAAAGGGCAGCGAAACCGCGAGGUCAAGCAAAUCCCAUAAAGUUGUUCUCAGUUCGGAUUGUAGUCUGCAACUCGACUACAUGAAGCUGGAAUCGCUAGUAAUCGUAGAUCAGCAUGCUACGGUGAAUACGUUCCCGGGUCU